UAAACAAAACCUAAUUGAUAGGAUUACAAUGAUAAUGUAAUUAAGUAUUUACUUGUUUAAUGUG
rnacentral:tRNA from 1 species